rnacentral:rRNA from 1 species
CACGUAGGGCGCGAGCGUUGUUCGGAAUUACUGGGCGUAAAGGGCUCGUAGGCGGCCAACUAAGUCAGACGUGAAAUCCCUCGGCUUAACCGGGGAACUGCGUCUGAUACUGGAUGGCUUGAGUUCGGGAGAGGGAUGUGGAAUUCCAGGUGUAGCGGUGAAAUGCGUAGAUAUCUGGAGGAACACCGGUGGCGAAGGCGGCAUCCUGGACCGACACUGACGCUGAUGAGCGAAAGCCAGGGGAGCAAACGGG